CCACUGCACCUUUUAGGAUGAUGGUUUUGUGGAGACCACCCAGCAAGUCUUCAUAGUCUGUGUCUCCCUUCUCUCCCACAAACAAAACAGACUUCGUCAUGUCAAUUCCCCACCUUAUCGAAAGGUACCUACACAAAAGCCAUUAAGCUUUGUUAUUCUCACCGUGAGAUCAGUAUACACAUAUCGUACAUGGUCUGGACAGUAUACUAAACCUGACUGCUUGCAAUCUUGAUGCACAUAGUGGUAUAACAUUUAUCCUUGUCGCAGCAUGUGUAUAGACAAUGUUGCACCUUAAACCUCUCAUCCGAAGCCUCUGCCUAAGGUCAUCAACUCUUCGAGUCUGCCAUUCACACACGUAGACUUUUAAUAUGUUUUUAAGCUGAGAAAUAUGUUUUUUAUUUUUUAUAGAAAAGAAAUGUUACCUCGACUCCUUGUUUGACAGAAAUUGCAUAGCACCUAGUACUGCAUGCGCUUGUAUACUCUGUGAUAUCGUCUUCUGUUUCAGGUUCUGUACAAGCUAGUCUCAGAAUCACUGACCUUAGACUUUCACCAGGCCAUUUGUAUUCCACAUGAGCUUCAUAGUCUGCAUCAACCUCCAUAUCUCUCCAUGGAUAGUAGAUCUCACUUCCGCUGUUACAAACUAUUGCGUCAAAUUCUUCCAAAUUAAUAAGGUAUUUCUUUGUCAUCUCCACAACUUCUUGCACGCUUGAACCUGUUGCCAGGACGAAGCCUAUUUUUCCUUUGCCCGAUGUCAAACCUGCAGUUUUCAUCACAUUCUUGAUGACAUCUUCCAAAUUCGCUUUGGUGUCUCCGUUGUCAUCGUAGGAAUCAACAGUAAUCACAAAGAGCAUCUGCCUUCUGCCAGGGCUGUAGAGAGCAGAUGGGCCACCCUUCAUAGAAUUCAUUUGACUUAUGGCGUUGACAAGUUUCCUCUGUCUAGUGCUUGCAUCUAGUUCCCCAUUGAGCUUGAAAUCUCCAUCCAUGGAGAAUCUCAAAGAUAUGUCAUCGACAUCACCUAGAGAAUCACUUAUAGGCUCUUCUGGAACUUUCAUUAUGUCGAGACUACUGGUUGGGUGUCGGUUUCUGCAGUGUUCAACAUGGGAAAGGUAGUUACGGCAGUGCUCUGGCCAUGAGAAACGGUGGAUGUUCUUGAGACCGUUCUUUCUGCACUCAGCCCAGAGAUGUUUGUUAGCUACGAGCUUUAGAAGGGCAUCAGAAAUGGCUUGUUGAUCAUGUGGGUCGACUAGGAGACCAUUGUUUAGUGCCUGGUCACAUACAUUAUGUUAAAUUUAGCUUUCCGAAUCAGUGAGGUUUGUUUUUAUAAUAAAGAGAUUUGAUUACCUUGACGAUAUCAACAGGCCCGCCAUUUUUGGUGGCAACAAUGGGCAGACCAUAAGCAGCUGCCUGUCAUACAUAAAUGAUAAAUGGUGGGAGCAUGAAGAGAGGUAAAGAAACAUAACCUAGGAAUGAAUCUGGUUACCUCAAUGAGCGUGAGACCAAACGGCUCUACCAGAGCUGGAUUAAUGAAAACUCCCUUCAAGAGAAAAAAAGGCCACCAUAAGAGAAGGAGGCAACAGCAAGAAUCAUAUAGUAUUAUAGGAUUUUCCUGUGAAGUACCUUUGUUUUGGCUGCUAAACGAUAAAUAUCUGGAACUUCAGAUUGUUUGUGAUGCUUGGGAUAAGCUACUUGGCCGUACAAGUCAUACUGGUCUAUCAGCUUUAGGACACUCAUGAGAACAACUGAACUGCUAUUAGACAUCUCUUCAAUGUCAUCUCGGUUUCCUAGUAUGAGUGUCUGGAACAGGGAGGUUCUUUAUUAGGAAAUAAUUUAGCAAGGCUGUACCCAUUAAAUUAUGUCAGAAGGACACUGUAAUAAUAAGGUAAGAAAUGCUGAGAUACUUACCAAGUUGGCUAGUUCUCGAAGAGGCUGACAUUCACCAAAAGCUUUGAGCAAUGUGGUGACGUUUUUCUUGGGGUCUGGUCGAGACAGCGCAAGUAUGGUUGGCUUAUGAGGAUUUGUGAAAAACCGCAUUAUCUGCAGAUCAUAGGUUAUAUGAAAGGCAUGGAAACAAACACAAGACUGUAAUCUUUCUUUCUUGCAGAAAUGAACACAAAAAAAUAAAUAAAGAAAUACCUCAGACCAUAUUGGAGGUACAGGCUUUUUAAUCUGGUUUCGGUCAGGGCCAAUUAGCGACUUGAGAUCUGCAUCAGCAUCUUGUGAAUCUUGUGUCAAGACGUCAUGGUCUGGACAGUAUACUAAACCUGACUGCUUGCAAUCUUGAUGCACAUAGUGGUAUAACAUUUAUCCUUGUCGCAGCAUGUGUAUAGACAAUGUUGCACCUUAAACCUCUCAUCCGAAGCCUCUGCCUAAGGUCAUCAACUCUUCGAGUCUGCCAUUCACACACGUAGACUUUUAAUAUGUUUUUAAGCUGAGAAAUAUGUUUUUUAUUUUUUAUAGAAAAGAAAUGUUACCUCGACUCCUUGUUUGACAGAAAUUGCAUAGCACCUAGUACUGCAUGCGCUUGUAUACUCUGUGAUAUCGUCUUCUGUUUCAGGUUCUGUACAAGCUAGUCUCAGAAUCACUGACCUUAGACUUUCACCAGGCCAUUUGUAUUCCACAUGAGCUUCAUAGUCUGCAUCAACCUCCAUAUCUCUCCAUGGAUAGUAGAUCUCACUUCCGCUGUUACAAACUAUUGCGUCAAAUUCUUCCAAAUUAAUAAGGUAUUUCUUUGUCAUCUCCACAACUUCUUGCACGCUUGAACCUGUUGCCAGGACGAAGCCUAUUUUUCCUUUGCCCGAUGUCAAACCUGCAGUUUUCAUCACAUUCUUGAUGACAUCUUCCAAAUUCGCUUUGGUGUCUCCGUUGUCAUCGUAGGAAUCAACAGUAAUCACAAAGAGCAUCUGCCUUCUGCCAGGGCUGUAGAGAGCAGAUGGGCCAC
rnacentral:lncRNA from 1 species